GACGAACGCUGGCUGCGUGCUUAACACAUGCAAGUCGAACGCUGAAACCCUGGUGCUUGCACCGGGGUGGAUGAGUGGCGAACGGGUGAGUAACACGUGAGUAACCUGCCCCCGACUUCGGGAUAAGCCCGGGAAACUGGGUCUAAUACCGGAUAUGAGCGCCCCUCGCAUGAGGGAUGCUGGGAAGUCUUUUCGGUUGGGGAUGGGCUCGCGGCCUAUCAGUUUGUUGGUGAGGUAAUGGCUCACCAAGACGACGACGGGUAGCCGGCCUGAGAGGGCGACCGGCCACACUGGGACUGAGACACGGCCCAGACUCCUACGGGAGGCAGCAGUGGGGAAGAUUGCACGAUGGGGGAAACCCUGAUGCAGCGACGCAGCGUGCGGGAUGACGGCCUUCGGGUUGUAAACCGCUUUCAGCAGGGAAGAAGCCCCUUGGGGUGACGGUACCUGCAGAAGAAGUACCGGCUAACUACGUGCCAGCCGCCGCAGUAA
rnacentral:rRNA from 1 species